rnacentral:rRNA from 1 species
UACGUAGGGGGCUAGCGUUGCUCGGAAUCACUGGGCGUAAAGCGCGCGUAGGCGGCUUUCUAAGUCAGGUGUGAAAUCCUGGAGCUCAACUCCAGAACUGCCUUUGAUACUGGAGAGCUAGAGUCCGGAAGAGGUGAGUGGAACUGCGAGUGUAGAGGUGAAAUUCGUAGAUAUUCGCAAGAACACCAGUGGCGAAGGCGGCUCACUGGUCCGGUACUGACGCUGAGGUGCGAAAGCGUGGGGAGCAAACAGG